UUGGUGCAACUCACUUUUUAUUUCACGUGCAUUUGCUUGUAACUUAGAAUUUAAACCAUAAGCUUUAGGAAAAACGUUAGUAGUGGAAACUCCCUUUAAGAACUACUAGAGGCUCAUGCGUAUAUAAGGACUAUAGGAUAAAAACUUCAGAGAUAGAAGUAUGUGUAAACCUGAUACUAUUAGAUUUUGUAAGAUUUGAUGUAAUAUUAGGAAUAGAUUGGUUGAAAAAGUAUAGAGUUAUAAUAGAUUGUGAAAGUAAAAUUGUAACCUUACGAACCCCAAAAAAGAAAUAAAAGUUGUUGUUAUUAUUUUUCUAACGAAUGAAUGAACAGGAAUAUGGACGUUGAUCUUG
rnacentral:lncRNA from 1 species